rnacentral:misc_RNA from 1 species
GUGAGUCAUCGAAUCUUUGAACGCACAUUGCGCCCGCCAGUAUUCUGGCGGGCAUGCCUGUUCGAGCGUCAUUUCAACCCUCAAGCCCCAGUGGCUUGGUGUUGGGGACCGGCGACCUCGCCUGCACCUGGUGCAAGCGUCCGCCGCCCCCGAAAUGAAUUGGCGGCCUCGUCGCGGCCUCCUCUGCGUAGUAGCACAACCUCGCAACAGGAGCGCGACGCGGCCACUGCCGUAAAACGCCCAACUUUUUUAGAGUUGACCUCGGAUCAGGUAGGAAUACCCGCUGAACUUAAGCAUAUCAAUAAGCGGAGGA